GACGAACGCUGGCGGCGUGCCUAAUACAUGCAAGUCGAGCGAAGUUUUUCUGGUGCUUGCACCGGAAAAACUUAGCGGCGAACGGGUGAGUAACACGUAAAGAACCUGCCUCAUAGACUGGGACAACUAUUGGAAACGAUAGCUAAUACCGGAUAACAGCAUUACCUGCAUGGUUGAUGUUUAAAAGUUGGUUUUGCUAACACUAUGAGAUGGCUUUGCGGUGCAUUAGCUAGUUGGUGGGGUAAAGGCCUACCAAGGCGACGAUGCAUAGCCGACCUGAGAGGGUGAUCGGCCACACUGGAACUGAGACACGGUCCAGACUCCUACGGGAGGCAGCAGUAGGGAAUCUUCCGCAAUGGGCGAAAGCCUGACGGAGCAACGCCGCGUGAGUGAAGAAGGAUUUCGGUUCGUAAAGCUCUGUUGUUAGGGAAGAAUGAGUGUGUAGUAACUAUACACAGUAGAGACGGUACCUAACCAGAAAGCAACGGCUAACUACGUG
rnacentral:rRNA from 1 species